CCUACGGGCUGCACCAGUGGGGAAUAUUGGACAAUGGGCGAAAGCCUGAUCCAGCAAAGCCGCGUGUGUGAAGAAGGUCUUCGGAUUGUAAAGCACUUUCGACGGGGACGAUGAUGACGGUACCCGUAGAAGAAGCCCCGGCUAACUUCGUGCCAGCAACCGCGGUAAUACGAAGGGGGCUAGCGUUGCUUGGAAUGACUGGGCGUAAAGGGCGCGUAGGCGGUUUAUGCAGUCAGAUGUGAAAUCCCCUGGCUUAUCCUGGGAACUGCAUUUGAGACGCAUAGACUAGAGGUCGAGAGAGGGUUGUGGAAUUCCCAGUGUAGAGGUGAUAUUCGUAGAUAUUGGGAAGAACACCGGUGGCGAAGGCGGCAACCUGGCUCGAUACUGACGCUGAGGCGCGAAAGCGUGGGGAGCAAACAGGAUUAGAUACCCUCGUAGUC
rnacentral:rRNA from 1 species